ACAUUUUUAGUUUCAGAAGAAUUCAGGCUUCUGGAAUCUUCUUGCCCCUCUGAUGUUUGCCAGGUCCAGAAGUCUAUAAAAAUAACGCUGAAAGUGAACCUCACUUCCUUUUUCCUGGUUAAGCAGCAGAGGUUUCGAAAACCAUGGAGUUGCUUCAUACUUUUUCCAGAUGGAGACGCAGUAAACCACCGAGCAGCAAACACGACGGUAAUGGUUUUGUCUCCCUGAUGUCUCUGUCUUUCACACCUUCUUAUUUAUCCUUUAAAGAUGGAGUGAAUACACACGUCUGGAGAGUUGAUGAACAACCUUACAUUAAUAAAAUCUAGAAGAUUCUACAUGUGAAAGUUUCCACUGUGCAGAAAUGAUGUGAAUUCAUAUCAGGCUUAAGAGCUGCACUUAAUGACUUUCAAUGAAUUCCAGCGAACCCACGAGGAGACGAGUGAGAGAGGGACAUGAGGGACAUGUUAAUGAAUCUGGAACAAAAGAACCGACAACACUCGACAGAACCGGAGGCCAAUAAAUCUUUAAGAAGCAUCUUUAAGAAAUAAUGAAGGUGGAAUCGAAAGAAAACCCAUAGAGACAGUGAGAAGAUGUGAAGCUCAGGAUGGAGCUGAGAAGAUGAGAGCGUUCUACAUAAAGUGGAGUGAGAGAAGAAGCCGAGGGAGUAACGCUGCGCUCAGCUACAGUCAGUAACUCUAACGGAGGUCAUUUCCGACCUCCAACUAGGAGAAACCCAAUCUGACUCGAGCGACAGUGCGCUCUCAAACACAUCGAGCUGGAAGAUUCCGAGUUCACACUCCAGACUUCUGAGGUAAACUUCACAACGCAGCGCUGCACCAACACUUUGGGAUAAAGAACUGGAACACAGCUAGUGGAAAAAUGAAGAUCUCAACAGAAGCUCCUGCCAACAGUGUGAGUGUAUGGUGUGAGUGAACAGUGUGAGUGAAGAGUGUGUGUGAAGAGUGGGUGUGAAGAGUGUGUGUGAAGA